GAUGGAGCGGCAACAGCUCAAAUUUGAAAUCUGGCCCUAGGCCCGAGUUGUAAUUUGCAGAGGAUGCUUUUGGUGAGGUGCCUUCCAAGUUCCCUAGAACGGGACGCCAGAGAGGGUGAGAGCCCCGUACAGUUGGACACCAAGCCUUUGUAAAGCUCCUUCGACGAGUCGAGUAGUUUGGGAAUGCUGCUCAAAAUGGGAGGUAUAUUUCUUCUAAAGCUAAAUACCGGCCAGAGACCGAUAGCGCACAAGUAGAGUGAUCGAAAGAUGAAAAGCACUUUGAAAAGAGGGUUAAACAGCACGUGAAAUUGUUAAAAGGGAAGCGCUUGUGACCAGACUUGCGUCCGGUGAAUCACCCAGCUCUCGCGGCUGGGGCACUUCGCCGGCUCAGGCCAGCAUCAGCUCGCUGUCGGGGACAAAAGCUUCAGGAACGUAGCUCUCUUCGGGGAGUGUUAUAGCCUGUUGCAUAAUACCCUUCGGCGGGCUGAGGUACGCGCUCCGCAAGGAUGCUGGCAUAAUGGUCAUCAGCGAC
rnacentral:rRNA from 1 species